rnacentral:rRNA from 1 species
GACGAACGCUGGCGGCGUGCUUAACACAUGCAGGUCGAACGGAAAGGCCCUGCUUUUGUGGGGUGCUCGAGUGGCGAACGGGUGAGUAACACGUGAGUAACCUGCCCUUGACUUUGGGAUAACUUCAGGAAACUGGGGCUAAUACCGGAUAGGAGCUCCUGCUGCAUGGUGGGGGUUGGAAAGUGUCGGCGGUUGGGGAUGGACUCGCGGCUUAUCAGCUUGUUGGUGGGGUAGUGGCUUACCAAGGCUUUGACGGGUAGCCGGCCUGAGCGGGUGACCGGCCACAUUGGGACUGAGAUACGGCCCAGACUCCUACGGGAGGCAGCAGUGGGGAAUAUUGCACAAUGGGCGGAAGCCUGAUGCAGCAACGCCGCGUGCGGGAUGACGGCCUUCGGGUUGUAAACCGCUUUCGCCUGUGACGAAGCGUGAGUGACGGUAAUGGGUAAAGAAGCACCGGCUAACUACGUG